rnacentral:lncRNA from 1 species
CCCUUGUAUAAUAGAUUACAGAAUUAAAGAGGGUAACAAAUAUACAUUAAACAUUUCGCACAAUAACGUCAACAUAUACUUUGUAGCUCGUUGCUACCAUUCAACACCAAACAACCAGCCCUCAUGGCCAUUUUUUCUGACACCACUGAUGACAUUGCGACAACUUCCAAUGGCGGGGUCCAUACUAACCUGUGUUGAUUCACUUUUAUUGACAUCUGCCACCACGCCUUGGUGGUCCCCCUCCACCAACCAAGUGUGCCUUUAAUUAAAAAACUAUUCACCAUUUUGAUGUCCAUGCCAAUCAAUGUUCCAUUCUUCCAAACUCGUAUCACCAAUGUUUUAAAUUGUAGUCACAGUUAUAUUUAUUGUCAUUGUGGUCGUUGCGGUAUAAAUUAUUUUGUGAGUAAAAAAAUAUAUUUUUGAUACCGAUGCAGCACAAUGCAGUUGCUUUGCAGCCAAAAUGUGAU